rnacentral:lncRNA from 1 species
CUUCUUCCAAAACAAGCUUAGGACCUUUAGAAUGACGUGUAGAAGCUUUCCCAAGUUUCAAAAUGUCCUAACUCGUUCAAAAACACGCCUAACUCAGUGUGCCCGAGUUUGGACCUCACGAGUUAACGAGUCAAAACUCGUCUAAACCAGGUUUCAAGAACAUGGUUGUGAUCGUGAAGAUGAGAGGAGUACAAUGGUGUGGUUUUGGGUUCGAUUUGCGAGCUUUGAAGCUCGUUUGAAGGUUUUGCAGAGAGAGAGCAUACGGGAGAGAGGGGGAAGAGAGAGAAAGAGAGUUCAUUUUUCUUUUUUCUGAUUAAGGGACAUUUAAAAGCUAGGGAUAGGGUUUUAGAUUUGUACAGAAAAGGAGGUAUAAAAAUCUAUUCGAAAAAGUGUUUUCACACUGUAAAAAAAAUAAUCAUACUCUCGUAACAACGUGCACAAUUUAGAUACGGUAGAGAGAAAUAGAAUAAAAGCGAUACGAAUACUUCCACGUCACUUGCCUAUAAGGGCAUAAUCGUCAAAAUACAUACUCGGGGAGAAAUUACAUAGGAAAAUUAGGGAUGGGUCGUCACAAUCUACCCCCUUAUAAAAAUACAUACUCGGGGAGAAAUUACAUAGGAAAAUUAGGGACGGGUCAUCACAAUCUACCCCCCUAUAAAACUUUCAUCCUCGAAAUUUCAACACUGACUACAAAUCAAAGCCAUAAAACAGACGUGGAUACAUAUCUCGCAUACGUUCCAUCUCCCAAGUAGCUUCCUCGACCGAGUGGUUCCUUCACAAAACUUUCACCAUCCACAUGGUCUUGUUCCUAAGAACCUUAUCCUUCCAAUCAAGGAUAGUCACCGGAACUUCAUCAUAGGUCAAAUCUGGAUUGAUCUCCAAUGGCUGAUGAGGAAUCACGUGUGACAGAUUAGAGACGUACCUUCGUAGCAUCGAUACGUGAAACACAUUGUGCACUCUUGCCAACUCUGGUGUCAAGGCAAGUCGAUAAGCAACUUCACCAACUCGUUCAACUAUCUGGUACGAUUCGAUGUACCUAAGGCUGAGCUUCCCUUUCUUUCCGAAUCGCACAACACCUUUCAACGACGAUAACUUCAAGAAUACCCAAUCACCAACCUCAUAAACUAUGUCAGUAGAAUGUCUGUCUGUGAUACUCUUCUGCCGAUCUUGGGCCACUUUCAGGUUAGCCUUUAUCACCUAAAUGUUCUGUGUCGUCUCAUCCACGAUCUUCGAGCCCACCAAAACUCGUUCAUUGACCUCAGACCAACAAAGUGGAGUACGACACGGUUUCCCAUACAACACUUCAAAUGGUGCCAUACCAAUACUAGAAUGGAAGCUGUUGUUGUACGCGAACUCUAUCAACGGUAAGCGCUUGUGCCAAGUGUCUCCAAACUGUAGAACUGACGAUCUCAACAUAUCUUCCAAAGUCUGAAUAGUUUUCUUUAAUUGUCCAUCAGUUUGAGGAUGAUAGGCGGUGUUGUAGAGUAAUCUCAAUCCCAAAGCUUCCUGAAAUGCUACCCAGAACUUCGAAGUAAAUCGGGGAUCCCGGUCAGAAAUAAUACUAACUGGAACUCCGUGGUACCUAACCACUUCAGAGAUGAAUCGCUCGGCCAACUAACUUAAUGAGUAAUUUUCACGAACGGGUAUGAAGUGCGCUGACUUGGUAUGCUGAUUGACUACCACCUAGAUACCAUCGUAACCAUUUCGCGUACAAGGUAAUUUGUACACGAAAUCCAUUGUAAUAUCUUCCCAUUUCCACUGAGGUAUCGGGAGUGGUUGUAGCAAUCCAAAUGGCUUUUUCCUUUCUGCCUUAACCUGCUAGCAAAUUGCACAACAACUAACAUACUCUGCAAUUUCUCUUUUCAUACCCGGCCAAUAAUAGAAGUGUCCAACGGUAUGAUACAUCUUGGUACUCCCUGGAUGCAUCGCAUAAGCAGAAAUAUGUGCUUUAUCCAAUGUGUCUCUCUUUAGUUCCUCAACAUUCGAUACAUACAUCUGAUCCCCUUGGAUAAGCAUGUCGUCAGGAUCUCUAAUCCAGAGGUCCUUCUUUUUCCCGUCUGACACUGCCUGUAUCAAUUCCUGAGAUUUUGUAUCAUUCCUCUAGGCUUCGAGAACACGAUCCAACAGAACCGGUUUGACCUGAAAACUGGCUAUUAGGGCCCCCCGACGACCCUCUUUCAAAGCUACUCCAGUGGAUCUUAGGUCAGUCAAAAGAGGAAUGCGACUAGCAUAAAGAGCAUUAAGUUGACCAUGAGACUUCCUACUAAGAGCAUUAGUUACCGAAUUGGCACAAUCUGGGUGAUACUCAAUGAUGCAGUCAUAAUCACUGAGCAACUCUACCCACCUCCGUUGCCAGAGAUUAAGAUCUGGCUGAGUGAAGAUAUACCUAAGGCUCUUAUGAUCAGUGAAGAUCUUACAUUUUCCCCUAUAAAGAUAGUGCCUCCAAAUUUUCAAAGCAAAGAUGAUCGCUGCCAAUUCGAGAUCAUAAGUAGGAUACGUCGAACUCAGUGUGCCCGAGUUCGGACCUCACGAGUUAACGAGUCAAAACUUGUCUAAACCAGGUUUCAAGAACAUGGUUGUGAUCGUGAAGAUGAGAGGAGUACAAUGGUGUGGUUUUUGGGUUCGAUCUACAAGCUUUGAAGCUCGUUUGAAGGUUUUGCAGAGAGAGAGCAUAUAGGAGAGAGAGAGAGAGGGAAAGAG